ensembl:lncRNA
CUUAAACUGAAAAGACUGUUCUGGAAGAUGAAAGGAAACAAAAGUGCAUCAAGAAUAAACACAUGACUAAUCCCACAACAGCAAGAAGAGGAGGUCAAUGGGUCUAAUGAAGUGGGGGGCUCAGGGCUCUCGAGAAGCUUCCAUCAUGCAGGCCAUGCUCCUCAGGAGAAACAAGCCAGUCGAUGCACCAGACCUCCAGUUUCCUGGGUCCUCCACUCCCUUGGCUCAGAUGGACGAAUGGCGCCAUGGAAGAGCUGGAGGCUGCACUUGGAUGGAACCAGCCCCUGUUCCUCAGCUGGAAACAUAGGGAGGUCAGCUGUCAGCUGGGCACCAGACUGGACACUGAGGGGCCUUGAAUGACAGACCAAAGGGUGGGCUAAUUUAACUAGAUCCCUUUGUUUCCUAGUGAUCGGAAUCUAAGUGCUCAUCAGUGAGUUUCCGUGCCUUAUUUUAUAACAUUUUGUUUUUUCAUCAGUUGGAAAAUGCAGUACAAUUGCCUUUUUGGAGGUAUACCUCUAUGCAUAUUAACAGCGUAUACGUGGGUGUGAGCGCUUCUACCCUCAGGACACAGAACAGUCCCCCAGGCAAAAAUGUCCCAUGCCACUUUGUCAUCCACAUCUUCUCCCCCCACCCUUGACUCUUAACAACUAUACUUUUGUCUGUUCGAGAAUAUCAUGUAAAUAAAAGAAAUUAUGCUGAGA